UGCUCACCACUUGGUGGCAGGAGUAAGGUGGGUUUGACUUCCAGGUGUGUUGGCUGGGAGAUUUAGAUGGGCUUCCCCAACGGCUUCCAGGAGAAAAUUAAAACAGGAAAUCGACCCUCAUAAAAGGCAAGCUCGAAAUGAUAGUCUCGGCGGGGUGUUCGAUGGGCUGUGGAUAGAGCCAUGGACAAAACAAGCUAUAGCCCUGCCCCACGCUCUAGUGGGAGGCACAUCCAGCGUACAGGAUGCAGGAUUUCACCCUGGGAGACAGUGCUGACAUGCUUCUAGGAUGGUUCUUGGGAGUCUGGAGAAAGUGAUGACCCACACUAAUUGAAACAUAAAUGUCAUAAUUGCUGUGGCAAAUGGUGGAGGAAGGAACCGAGAGUCCGGCCUACUAAUGUGCAGACAGCACGAGCGGCUGGAAACAGAACACCAGCCACCAUGCUUCACAGAAGGGCCCGGCACACAGUCUGCCAGACCACCAGGGACUGGCAGGGCGAGAGGUGCCAGGCUCACUGGGGCCAGCAGUUCUGUCCCCUGUAACCGGAGCAGGAGACAGCUGCUGCUGUCAUAGACGGGACCCCACAGUGGGUGGCAGCGCGUAAAUAUGGAAAGGAGGCGGACAGCCACUGUCAGAGCAGCACGGCUGGCAUGUGCACUGGGGAGGGGACAGGUAGGCAGGCAGCCACAGAGCUAAUUACACAGUCAGGGGACGCCUGUCCUUUGCCCCGUCUCCAGGCCUGAGCCAGCCUGUGACCUCUGUGACCACUGGCUGAAGUGGAGGCUGGCUGGAUCCUUAUGAGGAAGAACGGCACAAAACACAGCGGAUGCAAACUGUCAGGACAUCCAUGCCUUCCCCAAAGGCCACCCUUAGGUCACCAUCCACAGAGGAAAGGGGGUUACCCAGACACUUCAAGGACUCUUGGACCCAGGGUUCAGGGUGACAUUAAUACUUGGGGAUCGAAAGACUCACAAUGCCCAGUGAGUCAUCUGGUCCCAAGCAGUAGUCACUUCUCCACGUACAUACUUGGAGGGCACACCUGGUACCUGGAAGGACCCUGGCUUUGCUUCCUUGACAUGGAGGGAGCCAUCCUAGGCUAAAAGGCCAAGCAGACGCCUCUGACCGUGCAGUCCCCUUGCCAAGGCAGCAGAUCAGAUCAACACAUCCCUGGGGACUGCAGAGGUCUGAGCCAUCCUCAAGGAUUUAAGGGAUGAAGGCUUAGCAGGCCCCAUUGUAUUCCAUUUAAAUAAUUAUUUUGGCCGUACGGAAACCAACCAUGACUUCUGACAGUGGACCACAGCAAAUCUACCAAGCAGAAGCGCCAAAUACAGCUCUGAAAUGGAUGUGACCAGGGCCAGCAUGGCCGCUGGGCCUCAGCCCUGCUUUCAAGCAUGGCUGCUGAAGCACUGUCUCCACACCUACCAGCAGGGAGGGUCAGCAGAGUCGGUCACACAGGGCAGCGCCUGCACCUGGGCUUGGGCACCGAGGCUGUGGUACCUCUCCAUCUUCAUCAGACAGGAUGAAGGGACAUGGGCCCUCUGGACACUGUGCAGACCAUCACGUUGGUCCACUAUAUUAACAACAUCAUGUUACGGGGGCCAGAGAAGCAAGAGUGACAAGCAUGCUGAAGACAUGGAGAAGACAUGCUCUCCAGGGGGUGGCAGGGAAACCCUAAGCAACUCAGAGACUCACGGCAUCCGUGGAGGUUUAGGAGCGCUCAGUCGGGACGUGUCCCCUGUAAAUCCCUCCCAGAGCAAAGUACUGGGGACAAAAGUCUUGACCGUCAGUCCACUUCAGGUCCAAGAGGGGCACAGUCCACACUUAGGAAUGACACCCCUUCCGUAUGCUUGGUGACACCCAAGGGGCCAGCUUGGGGUGGCCCAGAGCAGGGAAGGGCAUCACAGCACAUCCAGCCUGCACUGCAAGCAGCCCCUCUGCUUGAGCCAGGCGGGCAGAACCACAGCAACAGGGACCCCUGUGGCGGGACAGGACACGGCAUGGAACUCAGGACCAGCCUGGUGGAGAGUCAGUGCAGACCCUAGAGUGGGGCCGCCAGGCCAGUCUCACCCCUUCCCUCGUCACCCAGCACAGAGCCACACGACAGCUCCCGGCCCUGACAGAGAUGGGAUCUCUGGCCGUGGGAUGUGAAGUGACUGUAGCCAGUAUGUCCCCCGGGGCUGGGCUCCGUCAGGUCCACUCUGUCACAGGUCAGAGCGCCCAGCAGCAAUCCAUCAGGAGACGGAAGGUGCAUCUGGGACAGGCUCGAGCAGGCUCAAGUGGCAGUGCAUCCCAUCCACCCGCCCCUGUGCUCACAUGAGGGGGGCUUUGCGGCCCCCUGAUGGAGGAAGAAGAGGGCUGCCCUCGGUCCAGUGAUGGGCUGCCUCAGUAGGGGGCACAGGCUGAACAUGGACGGUUCUGAAGGAUGGGGGCAGGAGCACGCUUCUCCCUGACACCAAAGCACCGGUUCCGGCCGCGGGUGCAGUGGGACUCGGUGCCCUGUCCAUCUCGCUGGCCUCAGGAGACCAGAGCCCCUCCUGCUCGACUCUGUGGACUGUCCAGGGGGACCCUAGAGUGGCAGGGACGUGGCACAGUGGACGCCUUACCCUAAAGCUGAAGUCAACCACCAAACUGUCGGAGGCCCUGCCAGAGCUGCCGGAAAAGCCUGGGGGCAGCCCUCUCCAGAGCCCCCUGCGAGGCGGGGCCCCCGCUGCCUGUGGGGAAGUGCCUGGGAAUUUAUCGCUACAAUUAGUGUCUGUUUUAUAGUUUCUGUUACUGGCAGCCAAGGACACAGAAGCCCUUUCCAGAAAAAUCCAGGGGGUCCUGGUGCUGCUGGGCCCAGGGGCGGGCAGGGCUGCUGCCUCGGAGGUCCGCACCUGCUGCCUCACCCUCCCUCCCCGAGUGCACACUCUCAGCUCUGCCUUCAUUUCUUCUUUCCCUUCAGGCAGAACUCUCUAGAUUGAAUCACAAUGCUGUUGGAAUGGCCAAAACCAACGCGGUUCAGCUCUGCGUGGGGCUUGACUGUCAGCGACCAAAGACAGGACAGCUCCUGGUCUCGAAAGAACGAAGUCUGUAUAAAUGACACUGAAAAUGAACCCGAGGCCCUCCGGGAAAAGUGUUGAGGGCCAGACCCUUCCCUGGCUGCUCAGACCCAUGCAGACCCUCACCUGUGCAAUGCCAGAGGGCACAGUACACGCACCCCGCAGGCAACCCCUCCCGCUGACGCUGCGCCCUGCAGAAGGAGCCUUGCGCGAGGGGUGUAGUGGUCUCAGAGGGUCUGCACUCCCCUCCCUCUGCUCCUGCCCCUGCACGUAUGGCCAAGUCCUCUGUCCCUCUCCAAGACACACGUUGUCCACGCCACCUCCGGGAGGAAUCCAGCCACAGACGGGCUCCCCUUCCCACAGACAUAUGCCACUCAUCCUCCCUGCCCUGGGCGCUGCUCUGGGUUGGACUGUUACUCGCUCGCUCUCUGUAAUAUAUAUGUUUUCACGCUUCAUGCAGCUUAAAAGCUCAAAUCGUAGGCCUUUUCUUUGCCCCCAACAGCACCAAGCAAAGUACAUAUGUUGUAUGAUGCAGGUCUUCAACAGACCUCUGGCUGGGGUGGCCUACAUGUCCCUGCUGGGUUCCAGAGAGGAAGGCCUGGGCUGAUGUAAGCACCGCCCACAUCAGUGCCUACCGCCAGGCGUGGCAACUAGAAUUAAAGCGAGCUCUCCGUCCCCUCCACCGCCUGGGAAUUGAUUCCCUCUCAAUUUCAAACUCAUAUUUGCGGGAAAAGGAAACCGUGUCACAGUCCUAGCCAAAUGCACAGAUUAAAAUAAUGAGCCAGCCCAACAGCCAACCAGCAGGAGUCAUUGCACGAAGCUGUGCCGCUGCCUCCAGGACGGAGCGCGGGGGCCUGAGCAUCCAACGCAGUGAUGCGAGGGGGUGGCAGAGGGGCCUGCCAGGAACGCCGCGUCGCUGGGAAAUCAGGAUGAUUAUCACCUAUUCAGAACCCACUCAGGAACCAACACAAAGUUGAAAAUGAAAUGAUGACUUUGUAUUCUUGUGAUUUUUGGAUCGACUCGUCGCAGUCGCGAGACGAGGAAUCCUGAGGCAGCGAGCGGUGGUGGCCCAGAUCACAGCAAUGUUUAAAAUCAAUAACAACAUUUGAAGUGGGAAUACCAUAGAUGAUACAGAGUGAAUGUAGUCAUUGCUCCUUGAAAGGGGGCAAAUAGCUUUCUAAGCCAAAGCAACACUAACUGCCAGUCUUGGACAAGACACAGGGGUGGCUACAAGUGUCCCAAAGUUGAUUCAAAGCAAUUUUCCUAUUUCUCCUGUGAAAGAAAAAGGGGUCAGAUUCCAAACCUGACAAGCUCUGGGGGCCCGCAUGGCAAGCCUUACAAGCUUGGUGACCAAAAGUGACGACGCUGGAUGGUCUGAUGGCAGAUUUCUAACUGGACAGGCCAUGGCGGGUAGUCACAUCCCAGGCCUGUAUGUCCCUUAGCAAAGGUCAGUCUUUACCUUAAAUGAACCUUGCCUAUUACUCUUCUAGGAUGACACACCUUUGAAAUGUCAGGGUCAUUGUCUCUCCCGACCCAUCGAAGGCACAACCACUGAGACCAGAGCAGGAGGCCACAGACCCCUCAUUCCCUUGUGCUCAUGCACCCUCUCCAUGUGCUGAAAUGUUAGAUAUUUGCUAUCCUGCACCUGCCAACGUAAAAGCACGUGUUUCUUGGUGUUGCUUUUUAUCCAAUCUGAGAUCUCUCCACUUUUCUUUCUCCUGCCCCCUUAACCUACCACCAAUGGA